rnacentral:sRNA from 1 species
GCCGGGCGUGGUAGUGCAAGCCUGUAAUCCCAGAGGCUGGGGAGGCUGAGGCAGGAGGAUCAUGAGUUCAAAACCAGCCUCAGCAAUGAUGAUACACUAAGCAACUCAGUGAGACCCAGUCUCUA